rnacentral:rRNA from 1 species
AGCGAACGCUGGCGGCAGGCCUAACACAUGCAAGUCGAACGGACCUUUCGGGGUUAGUGGCGGACGGGUGAGUAACACGUGGGAACGUGCCUUUAGGUUCGGAAUAGCUCCUGGAAACGGGUGGUAAUGCCGAAUGUGCCCUUCGGGGGAAAGAUUUGUCGCCUUUAGAGCGGCCCGCGUCUGAUUAGCUAGUUGGUGAGGUAAAGGCUCACCAAGGCGACGAUCAGUAGCUGGUCUGAGAGGAUGAUCAGCCACAUUGGGACUGAGACACGGCCCAAACUCCUACGGGAGGCAGCAGUGGGGAAUCUUGCGCAAUGGGCGAAAGCCUGACGCAGCCAUGCCGCGUGAAUGAUGAAGGUCUUAGGAUUGUAAAAUUCUUUCACCGGGGACGAUAAUGACGGUACCCGGAGAAGAAGCCCCGGCUAACUUCGUGCCAGCAGCCGCCGUAAGAC